rnacentral:rRNA from 1 species
UUUUAUGGAGAGUUUGAUCCUGGCUCAGGAUGAACGCUGGCGGCGUGCCUAAUACAUGCAAGUCGAGCGAACGGAUGAGAAGCUUGCUUCUCUGAUGUUAGCGGCGGACGGGUGAGUAACACGUGGAUAACCUACCUAUAAGACUGGGAUAACUUCGGGAAACCGGAGCUAAUACCGGAUAAUAUUUUGAACCGCAUGGUUCA